AGUAUUUGAUAAACGAUUAUUAAAGAGGGAUGGAGUGUCAUGUGAGAGGUACAGGAAAAGCAUAUUAAAAACAAAAAGAAUUGUACAUCAUGAUGCUGAGUUGAUGAUUAAUUUGGCAAAAAAUGUUCAGUAGGAUGAAAAAAGAGUUUUCUGGAAAGAAAUAAAGUACGGUAGCACCAUUUGGUUGUGAAGAACACAUUGAAACAAAAGAUAUUGAAAUUUUGUGUUUUCACAAUUUUUAUUAUUUAUUUAGUAGCCUCCUCUGUAUAACUACCGCAGAAACAGACUGAACACACCACAGAGGGACAAACUCCGCUAAAGUUCUGGGGCUAUGCUUCAGUACAUAUACAUACCAAAUUAAAUGUUAAUUUUCUUUCAUGAAUUGUUUAUUAACAUUAUGUCGAAAAAGAUGGUGUAGUAAGAGGUAGUAUAGGAACCUUAUGGUAAGCAACUGUGGAAGGUGUGUCAUUGGUUUCAUUCCCACAGAAUGAGACUAAAUCUAUAAUUGCUAUUGAAUAGAAAGACAUUUUCAUAUAUUUUUCUUUUUCUUUUUCAUACUAUUUUGGUUUGACUUCUAAUUGUGAUUUUUUCAAAUUUUCAGGAUGAUUCUUAAUACAACUAUGAUCAGCUAGAUGAUGAAAGUUGUCCUUAUGAAAAUCUUGUCACCCUGCCCACUCCUGAGGACAUUUCAAGGGAUGUCCAAGAGCAAGAAAUAAAGCGUGAAGAAUUGCACAAACAGGUGGCAAGGAUACAAAAAUGAUUGAGAUUGGGUUGAACCUUACAAGAGAGGCAGUGGUCCCGUAUCGCGGAAAACGGGGCGUUGUGUAGCGGGCGCCCUGUUCUGGCAGACUGACCUAAAAGCUCACUGACUCGGU